GACGAACGCUGGCGGCGUGCUUAACACAUGCAAGUCGAACGGUAAGGCCCUUCGGGGUACACGAGUGGCGAACGGGUGAGUAACACGUGGGUGAUCUGCUCUGCACUUCGGGAUAAGCCUGGGAAACUGGGUCUAAUACCGGAUAGGACCACUGCCUGCAUGGGUGGUGGUGGAAAGCUUUUGCGGUGUGGGAUGGGCCCGCGGCCUAUCAGCUUGUUGGUGGGGUGAUGGCCUACCAAGGCGACGACAGGUAGCCGGCCUGAGAGGGUGACCGGCCACACUGGGACUGAGAUACGGCCCAGACUCCGACGGGAGGCAGCAGUGGGGAAGAUUGCACAAUGGGCGCAAGCCUGAUGCAGCGACGCCGCGUGAGGGAUGACGGCCUUCGGGUUGUAAACCUCUUUCAGCACCGACGAAGCGCAAGUGACGGUAGGUGCAGAAGAAGGACCGGCCAACUACGUGCCAGCAGCCGCCGUAA
rnacentral:rRNA from 1 species